UUGUUGCGUUAAGGAUUGCAGCGGCAUCCUUUUUUGUUUUUCACAAAAAAGAUAUAGCGGAAAGCCUGACCCUUU
rnacentral:sRNA from 1 species